AUGUGCCACUAAAUGGACUAUGUCAGAAUUUCGAUCUUCUUGUCCUUUGAUUUAUCAAUUCUUUUAGCCAGAGAAAGUAGUAGAAUUUAGCUUUAAAAUAGAAAUACCGUAGAGAGAAAUCUUGUGUAAAUUUUGCGUGCCACGAAUAUUCUUCUGAGUAAAAAAGAAGUGUUCAAGAAAUGAGUAAGUUUGAGAUUCAAUGCAUACUCAUCUGCCUCAAUAAUUGUAAGCUUGGUUUUAUGUUUGGUUCCACUCUGGCUUUUUUGUUGAGAAUAUAACUUUUCAAUCACCUGUCUUACAUGGUUUAUCUAAAGCGAUUCAUUUACAAAUCAUCGUAAUGAAUUUAAGAUCUACAAUAUUGCUAACUUUUGGCAUUAAGAUUGAUCAACAAUCUGCUUGUAAAUAGGUGAAUUGAUCAUGUAACUUGAAAUUAAAAUUUUCGAUAUAGGAUAGCAAAACAACAACAGCACUGGUGGGAUUGAGAAGUGAUUGAAAAUUUGACAAAAUCCUUCAACGCUUUAUGUUUUAUUUUUCUUUUGGAAGAAACACUUUCCCAUCAUUCGUAUUGUUAUUAUACAAACACUUUUUCUCCAGAUACAUUUGAGAUUUAAGUCGAAUUUACAUCAAUUUAUACCACACCAGUCUCGUGAUUUUAAUUUUUAACGAGCCAAACUUAUGAAAGUGUACUAUAUGCGUACUGUGCAUAAGCGCUUCAAGUCAUUGUUGCGCUUUUUUCUUAUACAUUAUUCAUCGAUACUAUAUCACUUUCCUGUAUUCUCAUAUGGUAGUUAUAAUUUCGUCUCCAAAUCUUAACCAAAAGAUCUAUCAUACUAUUCUUUUACCCUGCUACUUUUCUCUAUACUGAUGCACAAUGCUGAUAUAACCUCUACGUUGAUCAAUUCUUGAUUUAUUAAACGACAUCGUAUUAACUAAGGAAUAUUGUAUAAACACAUUUGUUUACUAAUUCAAAUGUUUCCUCGAUCAGUUUUAGCUUCGUCAAAUAUGAUUGUUGUUCCAAAUCCACUCCCAACAAUAGAAGUCUACUUUUCAUUGCCAAGCAUCGCUGAUAAUAAUGUAAGCAACAACCGAAAGUAUAUCAAUUAAGCUCAUUUUUUAAAAAAAGUAACGUAUCUUAACAUGCUACUUUUAACUCAAGCGCUGCGCUAAAACGGUCACGCUUAAAUAUGCGACAUGACAAAAUUUUCCUAAAA